GGUCCAAAGAGAACAACUGUGAGGUUAGAAAAUUUUGUUAUUUCUGAUAUUGCAUGUCUUAUGUCCUUGAGUUUUGGAGUGAAGUGGCACUCACAUUGCUUCACUGUAAUGUUGAUAUGAAUAGUUGGUUCAUAGUCUUGAUAUGUAGUCUGGUCAGUGUCAAACUGUUGGUUCUUUAUCCUUUAAUCAUGUUAGAGGCAUGUCUGCACGAGAAUUCAGGGUAUUAUAUAUCCAGCAAGGUGUCUUGGAGCCUAGGCACCAAGGUGUCUUGGAGCCUAGGCGAAAGGCGCAGGCACGCGCUCGAGAGAGCCGAGGCGCAAAAAUA
rnacentral:misc_RNA from 1 species